rnacentral:rRNA from 1 species
GGAAGCGAGCUGAUCCCCUUCGGGGGUGACGCUCGUGGAAUGAGCGGCGGACGGGUGAGUAACACGUGGGCAACCUGCCUGUAAGAUCGGAAUAACUCCGGGAAACCGGAGCUAAUGCCGGGUAACAUGUUCCUUCGCAUGAAGGAACAUUAAAAGAUGGCUUCUCGCUAUCACUUACAGAUGGGCCCGCGGCGCAUUAGCUAGUUGGUGAGGUAACGGCUCACCAAGGCAACGAUGCGUAGCCGACCUGAGAGGGUGAUCGGCCACACUGGGACUGAGACACGGCCCAGACUCCUACGGGAGGCAGCAGUAGGGAAUCUUCCGCAAUGGACGAAAGUCUGACGGAGCAACGCCGCGUGAACGAUGAAGGUCUUCGGAUCGUAAAGUUCUGUUGUUAGGGAAGAACAAGUACCGUGCGAAUAGAACGGUACCUUGACGGUACCUAACGAGGAAGCCCCGGCUAACUACGUGCCAGCAGCCGCGGUAAUACGUAGGGGGCAAGCGUUGUCCGGAAUUAUUGGGCGUAAAGCGCGCGCAGGCGGUUCCUUAAGUCUGAUGUGAAAGGCCACGGCUCAACCGUGGAGGGCCAUUGGAAACUGGGGAACUUGAGGACAGAAGAGGAGAGUGGAAUUCCACGUGUAGCGGUGAAAUGCGUAGAUAUGUGGAGGAACACCAGUGGCGAAGGCGACUCUCUGGUCUGUUUCUGACGCUGAGGUGCGAAAGCGUGGGUAGCAAACAGGA